UAAUUGGUGUUCCGGUUCAUAUGAAGAUAUUUGAUAUUGUCUAGUUUUGAGAGCACAAGUUUCUCAAUAG
rnacentral:misc_RNA from 1 species